rnacentral:lncRNA from 1 species
GAUGAUAUUCGUAUUGGAGGUCGACUAAUUUGAAUUCGCGUAUUGCAUGACUAGUUUCAUGAAUAGCGCUUUCAACAAAAUCGUUUUCAACAUUCAGAGUUCGGACCUCAAAACAUCUGGUUAAAGUGAAGAAUUCUCAACCAUUUCAUCAGUACCCGAUAAUUGAUAUGAUGACUUGUUGGACGAUUUUGCUCGUGCAACAAGAUGGUGGUGUGUGCAUUAUAAUUAUAGGUCCAACUUGGUAUAUGUGAUUUUGAGAUUUUGCUUUGAGCAACUUGUACUUCACGUGCUUGUGCGUUUUGUCAUUUACGUUAUAGAUAAUUUUGCAUGGGAAAAUACAAACCUACCUUUCCUUUUUCCUUCUUGUUUCUUUCCUCCACCCACCCAUCAACCCCCUCCCACCCC